UACGGGGGGGGCAAGCGUUGUUCGGAAUUACUGGGCGUAAAGGGCCAGUAGGCGGCCAACUAAGUCCGACGUGAAAUCCCAAGGCUUAACCUUGGAACUGCGUCGGAUACUGGAUGGCUUGAAUUCGGGAGAGGGAUGCAGAAUUCCAGGUGUAGCAGUGAAAUGCGUAGAUAUCUGGAGGAACACCGGUGGCGAAGGCGGCAUCCUGGACCAAUAUUGACGCUGAGGAGCGAAAGCCAGGGGAGCAAACGGG
rnacentral:rRNA from 1 species